ACGCUGGCGGCGUGCCUAAUACAUGCAAGUAGAACGCUGAAGAGAGGAGCUUGCUCUUCUUGGAUGAGUUGCGAACGGGUGAGUAACGCGUAGGUAACCUGCCUUGUAGCGGGGGAUAACUAUUGGAAACGAUAGCUAAUACCGCAUAACAAUAGGUGACACAUGUCAUUUAUUUGAAAGGGGCAAUUGCUCCACUACAAGAUGGACCUGCGUUGUAUUAGCUAGUAGGUGAGGUAACGGCUCACCUAGGCGACGAUACAUAGCCGACCUGAGAGGGUGAUCGGCCACACUGGGACUGAGACACGGCCCAGACUCCUACGGGAGGCAGCAGUAGGGAAUCUUCGGCAAUGGGGGCAACCCUGACCGAGCAACGCCGCGUGAGUGAAGAAGGUCUUCGGAUCGUAAAGCUCUGUUGUAAGUCAAGAACGAGUGUGAGAGUGGAAAGUUCACACUGUGACGGUAGCUUACCAGAAAGGGACGGCUAACUACGUGCCAGCAGCCGCGGUAAUACGUAGGUCCCGAGCGUUGUCCGGAUUUAUUGGGCGUAAAGCGAGCGCACGCGGUUUGAUAAGUCUGAAGUUAAAGGCUGUGGCUCAACCAUAGUUCGCUUUGGAAACUGUCAAACUUGAGUGCAGAAGGGGAGAGUGGAAUUCCAUGUGUAGCGGUGAAAUGCGUAGAUAUAUGGAGGAACACCGGUGGCGAAAGCGGCUCUCUGGUCUGUAACUGACGCUGAGGCUCGAAAGCGUGGGGAGCGAACAGGAUUAGAUACCCUGGUAGUCCACGCCGUAAACGAUGAGUGCUAGGUGUUGGAUCCUUUCCGGGAUUCAGUGCCGCAGCUAACGCAUUAAGCACUCCGCCUGGGGAGUACGACCGCAAGGUUGAAACUCAAAGGAAUUGACGGG
rnacentral:rRNA from 1 species